CUGCGGAGGGAUCAUUACACAACAAAAAUAUGAGGGUGUGGUUUGCUGGCAACAGCGUCCGCCCCAAGUAUUUUUCACCCAUGUCUUUUGCGCACUUUUUGUUUCCUGGGCGAGUUCGCUCGCCACCAGGACCCAACCAUAAACCUUUUUUUAUGCAGUUGCAAUCAGCGUCAGUAUAAUAAUUCAAUUUAUUAAAACUUUCAACAACGGAUCUCUUGGUUCUGGCAUCGAUGAAGAACGCAGCGAAAUGCGAUACGUAGUGUGAAUUGCAGAAUUCAGUGAAUCAUCGAAUCUUUGAACGCACAUUGCGCCCUUUGGUAUUCCAAAGGGCAUGCCUGUUCGAGCGUCAUUUGUACCCUCAAGCUUUGCUUGGUGUUGGGCGUCUUUUUGUCUCUCCCCUUGUUGGGGGAGACUCGCCUUAAAACGAUUGGCAGCCGACCUACUGGUUUUCGGAGCGCAGCACAAAUUUGCGCCUUCCAAUCCACGGGGCGGCAUCCAGCAAGCCUUUGUUUUCUAUAACAAAUCCACAUUUUGACCUCGGAUCAGGUAGGGAUACCCGCUGAACUUAAGCAUAUCA
rnacentral:rRNA from 1 species